UAAGAAGACUAUAUAUAGACUGGAUUAAAGCUAUUAAUCAUAAGUAUUGGGACAGUUAGGAAAGUGUAAAAAUUAGUAAAGAACGAGUAUGCAGUGCACAUUUUGUAUCAGGAAAACGUUUUGAUGACACAUCUGACAUUGACUGUAGUCCAUCUGCAUUUAAUCACCUUGGAGCUGCUCUGAUUUCUAGUUUGAUUAAAAAAAGGAAGAGAAAAGAUUACUAUAAAGAUUUGUAAAAAACGAUUUUUUACAUAAUUUUACAAUACUGCCAUCUAGCCAAUCGAAUAAUUUAGAGCUCGAUAACUAUAAUGAUAAUAUGAAUAUUGACAUAAAUCCACCAAAUGACGAGUCAGCUAUUUCUAAAUUUUUUCAGCAUGAUACUUAUAAAGUAAAAAAAAGUUCAAAGUCUGUGUCUGUAUUAUUAAUUGUACCAAAGAAUUUAUUGAAAGACCAAAAAAUUUAAUUUUACGAUCACAAACUUGGUCUAAUUAUAAACAUAACAAUACCAUUAAAUAUCUUAUCGGUAUUUCACCACCUGGGGCAGUUAGUUUUCAAACAGACAAAUAAAAAUUGAGUCAAACUUUUGUCAGAAGCUUAAUCCUGGCAACUUUGUUCUUGCUGACAGAGGAGUCAAGAUCAAAGACAAACUAAAUGCUGUUGGGGCAACGUUGAAAAUUCCAGCAUUUACAAAAGGUAAACAACAAUUAUCUGGAUGGAAAGUGGAAACAUCUAAACAGAUAUCUAAUUUUUGCAUACAUUUGGAAUGAGAGAUUGGUCAAAUAAAAAAGUUUUGCAUUAUUCAUAAGACUGUGCCAAUCACUCGAGUGGAUUUAUUAGAUGAUAUUAUAAUUAUUUUUUAUGCUCUUGUAAAUCUCAAUAUGAGUGUAGUUACUUGAUUAAUGUAAAUGUAAAAACAAAUAUACAGAGAAGCAAUUCUUACAGUUUUAAAAUCUAAUUACA